rnacentral:rRNA from 1 species
GAUGAACGCUGGCGGCGUGCCUAAUACAUGCAAGUCGAGCGAACAGACGAGGAGCUUGCUCCUCUGACGUUAGCGGCGGACGGGUGAGUAACACGUGGAUAACCUACCUAUAAGACUGGGAUAACUUCGGGAAACCGGAGCUAAUACCGGAUAAUAUAUUGAACCGCAUGGUUCAAUAGUGAAAGACGGUUUUGCUGUCACUUAUAGAUGGAUCCGCGCCGCAUUAGCUAGUUGGUAAGGUAACGGCCUACCAAGGCGACGAUGCGUAGCCGACCUGAGAGGAUGAUCGGCCACACUGGAACUGAGACACGGUCCAGACUCCUACGGGAGGCAGCAGUAGGGAAUCUUCCGCAAUGGGCGCAAGCCUGACGGAGCAACGCCGCGUGAGUGAUGAAGGUCUUCGGAUCGUAAAACUCUGUUAUUAGGGAAGAAAAAAUGUGGAAGUAACUAUGCCCGUCUUGACGGUACCUAAUCAGAAAGCCACGGCUAACUACGUG